rnacentral:lncRNA from 1 species
UCAGUAUUUUUUAAGCAACCGUAAUAUAGCAUGAAGCUACUUGUUCACAAAAUUUCAGUACCAUGACAAUUUGCAGCUUUUUAUGUACUCUUCAUGAGUUAAUCUAAGAUUACGUGUAUUUUGCACUUCCAAUUUAAUUCAGUAUUGUCCCUAAAAUUAAAAAGGAUCUUAGUACUUGCUUCUUAGGUUCAUUAGAUCAAUAGUAGUGACAACAUCCAAGUAUAUUAAUCUAAUGCAAGGUGUCAUACACUAAAAAAAGAAAAAGAAAAGGAAUAAAAAACUCAGAUACACUUCUAAGAGCUGAGCUUCUAAUGUAACAUUAUAACAAAAAGAAUUGAAUUGAAGAGCAUAUGAAGGUUCAGAUAGCGAAAAAGACAAUCAUAAUCACGGUAGAAAAUAUAAUGUGAAUAGAUUAUUACUAUUAAAGAAGUAAAGAAAAGAAUAGUCAUUAGGGUCCUCUUUAAAUAUAACUACAAUAGAAACAUUUGUUCCUACAACUAAUUUUGUCAAGGUAUCCAUAGCAAAAUCAUGAAAGCAUGUAAGAUUAUAUUGAUUAAAACUAUACAUGUUGCCUACAAAAAAGUAAUAAAAGAACUAUACAAAUAUCUAAUAUUGGAAAAUCUACACAAAAUUCAUCAAAAAACUUGAAUAACUAAGGGUCAGAAGGUGAUGAAUCUGACCACGAGGAAGGAGCAUCCAUAGUAUGAUCAAAUUCACAAUUAAAAUGCAAUCUCUUGGACAGAGCUCUGGAAUUUUCAAAUUUAAUGUGGUGCUAAUAAGAGGAAGAGCUUCCAAAUGAUGCAGAGAUAAAAUGUUUCAGGAAUAAAUAAAUAAAAACCUAAAGAUAAAUCUGAAAAUACAAUAAGCAUAAAGUUUAGUCUGCAAAGUAUAUAUUAUCUUGACCAAUUACAGUAUGACUUAUUCAAUGUAUAUUGUCUAAUAUCUCUCUAUGUUGACCAUUCCUUGUUUUCUUUAUAGAAAAGAAAAACAUCAACUUAAUUGAUAUUGUAUAACUGAUCUCCGGAAAAAAUCUUCAUAACUAAGUCGAAAAGAAAAGCUUUUCCAUCAAAUCCAAUCACAAAGAAUGUACCGCAAUUACAUGUAGUAGUGUAACAUAUAGCAAGACUGGUGGAUCAAUUAAAGUGAAGACUCUAGAUUAAUCAAGUCCUAAAUGAGGUACAUUCAAUUGGGUUAAAGAUUAUGCAACUGCCUUAUGCGGCUAAUCCAUUAGGAAAUGCUGAUACUUUAGGCAACU